rnacentral:rRNA from 1 species
GACGAACGCUGGCGGCGUGCUUAACACAUGCAAGUCGAACGGAAAGGCCCUGCUUUUGUGGGGUGCUCGAGGGGCGAACGGGUGAGUAACACGUGAGUAACCUGCCCUUGACUUUGGGAUAACUUCAGGAAAAUGGGGCGAAUACCGGAUAGGAGCUCCUGCUGCACGGGGGGGGUGGGAAAGUUUCGGCGGUUGGGGAUGGACUCGCGGCUUAUCAGCUUGUUGGUGGGGUAGUGGCUUACCAAGGCUUUGACGGGUAGCCGGCCUGAGCGGGUGACCGGCCCCCUUGGGACUGAGGUACGGCCCAGACUCCUACGGGAGGCAGCAGUGGGGAAUAUUGCACAAUGGGCGGAAGCCUGAUGCAGCAACGCCGCGUGCGGGAUGACGGCCUUCGGGUUGUAAACCGCUUUCGCCUGUGACGAAGCGUGAGUGACGGUAAUGGGUAAAGAAGCACCGGCUAACUACGUG